CCUACGGGUGGCAGCAGUGAGGAAUAUUGGUCAAUGGGCGCGAGCCUGAACCAGCCAAGUAGCGUGCAGGAUGACUGCCCUACGGGUUGUAAACUUCUUUUAUAAAGGAAUAAAGUGAGGCACGUGUGCCUUUUUGUAUGUACUUUAUGAAUAAGGAUCGGCUAAUGCCGUGCCAGCAGCCGCGGGAAUACGGAGGAUCCGAGCGUUAUCCGGAUUUAUUGGGUUUAAAGGGAGCGUAGAGGGGUUGUUAAGACAGUUGGGAAAGUUUGGGGCUCAACCGUAAAAUUGCAAUUGAUACUGGCAGUUUUGAGGACAGUUGAGGUAGGCGGAAUUCGUGGUGUAGCGGUGAAAUGCUUAGAUAUCACGAAGAACUCCGAUUGCGAAGGCAGCUUACUAAACUGCCACUGACAUUGAUGCUCGAAAGUGUGGGUAUCAAACAGGAUUAGAUACCCCGGUAGUC
rnacentral:rRNA from 1 species